rnacentral:lncRNA from 9 species
AGAUGUUCCUCUGCAGCUGAACAGCUGGCAGGCAGCCCGAGAUGGGGCCCUGCUCAGGAAACCCCCACCUCCGCUGGGCCUCCCGGCUCCUGGGACUCCUCAGCCUCCUCUUCAGUGUCUGCCGCAGUGGGACCAAUAGUGAUGGAGGUCCUGCUCCUGGAGUUCAGGAUUCUGGAGCUCCUGAUCCUCUGCAGGGGAUCCGAGGAGGUUCUGUGCUGUUUCCUUUGCCCAAGAAGCAAGACGCUGAGCUGGAGGAGGUCACGUGGGGCUUUGGUCCUGGGUCAGAGUACAGAGUCCUGCUGCGAGUCCGACCUGGGAAAGCUCCAAUAUGGGUGAGCCUCCAGGACGGGUACCAGCAGAGGGUCCAUGUGCCCAACAUGACGUCCCUGAAGAUUGAGAACCUGACCCCCGAGGACAGUGGGCUGUACCGGGCUCGAGGCAGCUUCACUGGAGGAGUAGAUUUUACCCAGGUUUUCCACCUCACUGUCUAUGAGCCUGUGCCCAUUCCCCAGAUCCUGGUCCACUCACCAUCCAUCACGCAAGGCUGGUGCAAUGUCACCAUUGAGUGCAGGAUCUCAUGGGGCACAGAGGACCUGAAGGUGACCUGGGAGGGCAAGGGCCUCCCCAGGCAGCUGGAGGAGAGAGUGACACUGGGACCAGCCCCCAAUUCCUGGAACCUGGCUGUGCACCUGCCCCAGAGCCAGUCCUACACCAACAUCACCUGUGUGGUCAGCAAUGAAGUGGACCAGAAAACUGCCACCUUCGACCUUGGGAAAGUCUGCCACCUUGGGGAAGCCCAUGGUGAGUGCACCUGCCACAGGGGAGGGGCACUCUCAGAGUUUGGGUGCAGUGGGAUGAAGGUUCUGGGCUUUUCUCCCCACCGUGUUAUUAGCACCACCUUCCAGGGGGUCACCCCAUUCAGGAGCCUGGGCAGCCCAUCCAGGCUGCAUCUGCUGUUAAGUGUCUCAGUCCAGGCUCUCCUUUCCACCCCUUGCCCCUGCUGGUCCAGGCAGCAGCCUUCCAGCUCCUCUCCCCACACUCAUUCCUCAUUCAUUGUGGUCUUUUGGAAAAGUAAUCAGAUGUGUCCCUGGCGGUUGUCAUCUGUGGGAUUUGACACAGUGACUCCCUGUGGGAUUCAGGGCUCACACACUCCUCUGCCCACAUUUCUGGGCUUCACACUGAGCUGCUUGCGUGGUGUUCCUGAAUGUGUCCUGCUAUUGCGAGCUUUUGAGCAUCUGGUAAUGCAGUUUCCUCCACCAUCAGCCCUCUUGCCCCCGUCCUUCAUGUCCUGA